rnacentral:rRNA from 1 species
AGUAAUGUAUGGGGAUCUGCCUGAUGGCGGGGGAUAACUACUGGAAACGGUAGCUAAUACCGCAUAACGUCGCAAGACCAAAGAGGGGACCUUAGGGCCUCUUGCCAUCGGAUGUGCCCAGAUGGGAUUAGCUAGUAGGUGGGGUAAUGGCUCACCUAGGCGACGAUCCCUAGCUGGUCUGAGAGGAUGACCAGCCACACUGGAACUGAGACACGGCCCAG